rnacentral:rRNA from 1 species
AGGACGAACGCUGGCGGCGUGCUUAACACAUGCAAGUCGAGCGGUAAGGCCUUUCGGGGUACACGAGCGGCGAACGGGUGAGUAACACGUGGGUGAUCUGCCCUGCACUUCGGGAUAAGCCUGGGAAACUGGGUCUAAUACCGGAUAUGACCUCCUAUCGCAUGGUGGGUGGUGGAAAGAUUUAUCGGUGCAGGAUGGGCCCGCGGCCUAUCAGCUUGUUGGUGGGGUAAUGGCCUACCAAGGCGACGACGGGUAGCCGACCUGAGAGGGUGACCGGCCACACUGGGACUGAGACACGGCCCAGACUCCUACGGGAGGCAGCAGUAGGGAAUAUUGGACAAUGGGCGCAAGCCUGAUCCAGCCAUGCCGCGUGAGUGAAG